AUACGGAGGGUGCGAGCGUUGUUCGGAAUCACUGGGCGUAAAGGGCGCGCAGGCGGUCUGUCAAGUCAGAUGUGAAAGCCCACGGCUCAACCGUGGACGUGCAUCUGAAACUGGCAGACUCGAGUACCGGAGGGGAAAGUGGAAUUCCCGGUGUAGAGGUGAGAUUCGUAGAUAUCGGGAGGAAUACCGGAGGCGAAGGCGACUUUCUGGACGGAUACUGACGCUGAGGCGCGAAAGCGUGGGGAGCGAACAGGAUUAGAAACCCUAGUAGUCC
rnacentral:rRNA from 1 species